AGAGCGAACGCUGGCGGCAGGCCUAACACAUGCAAGUCGAGCGCUCCGCGAGGGGAGCGGCAGACGGGAGAGUAACGCGUGGGAACGUACCUUUUGGUUCGGAACAACCCAGGGAAACUUGGGCUAAUACCGGAUAAGCCCUUACGGGGAAAGAUUUAUCGCCGAAAGAUCGGCCCGCGUCUGAUUAGCUAGUUGGUGAGGUAAUGGCUCACCAAGGCGACGAUCAGUAGCUGGUCUGAGAGGAUGAUCAGCCACAUUGGGACUGAGACACGGCCCAAACUCCUACGGGAGGCAGCAGUGGGGAAUAUUGGACAAUGGGCGCAAGCCUGAUCCAGCCAUGCCGCGUGAGUGAUGACGGCCUUAGGGUUGUAAAGCUCUUUCGCUCGGGACGAUAAUGACGGUACCGAGAUAAGAAGCCCGGCUAACUUCGUGCCAGCAGCCGC
rnacentral:rRNA from 1 species